ensembl:lncRNA DMBT1L1 deleted in malignant brain tumors 1 like 1 (pseudogene)
CUUCCACUGCCUCUCUGCCUUACCUAGGAGCAUCUGCUGCUGUGAGUUACCCAACCUCAGCAUCUUUUCCAAAGCCAACAGAGGUGCCCACAUGGACAGGUCUGGGACUGCGGCUGGUGAACGGGUCCAGCAGAUGUGAGGGCCGAGUCGAGGUCUACCAUGCCAAUGCCUGGGGCACCGUGUGUGAUGACAGCUGGUCUAUAGAGGAUGCCCACGUGGUCUGCAGGCAGCUGGGCUGUGGCCUGGCCGUGUCUGCCCUCCCAGGAGCCAGCUUCAGCCCUGGAUCAGGCAGCAUCCUCCUUGAUGACGUCAACUGCACGGGAAGGGAGUCCUCCCUGGGGCAGUGCCCUCACAGAGGUUGGUACACCCACAACUGUGGGCACCAUGAAGAUGCUGGCGUCAUCUGCUUAG